ensembl:lncRNA
CCGGCGGUCAGCUGCUGUUAUUGUUCAUUGUUAAGCAGCCGCGCAGUGACGAAGGCGACGAGCACACGAGAGCAAACACGAGCACAUUAGACCCACUUGGGGCAGGAAGUGACUGCAGAGGAAACGGCAGCAGGAAGUCGAGACGGACGCCGCGUUGGCGGAGACGAGUCGCUGAACGUCGUCCACGAGGCGUCACGAGACAAACGGCCACUAGAUGUCACUCUAAGACGAGAUAAAACGCCAACGCUCGGCCUGCAUCCAUCCGCCUAUGAAACACCAGCAACUUGUACAAGACUCAUCAAAUCCCACCAGCUUACACUUUCGUUUGAAAAAACAUUAUGGUGAGCUCACUGUUAACACAGAUGGACCAAACUGCUGCAGAGAUGGCGGUGAACAUCUGUAUGGGAGAGAUCUGAUGUGCCCUAUUGCUAUUGUAUCGCCGUCCCAUAUGGAAACAAUCCUCGCCGUGUGUUGGAUAGAAGGCGGGCGCUAAAGCGAGGGAUGCAUGCCGUCCACAGACUACGUUUAUCCUAAAAAAAAUAAAUGGGAAAAGCCCCACUACACUCACACACCUUUCUGUAUUGCAUAGUAGUUAAAUACUUCUCGUGUGUAUCUAUUUACAUGUAUAUAUUUGUGUAUUUUGUCAUUGCACGUCCUUGUUUUUGUUACACAGUCAAACUCACAUGCAAAUAAAUUCUG